UGAAAUAAAUCAUCCUCUCUAUUAUUUUGACAUUUCACAUUUUUUAAAUAAAGUGGUGAUCCUAGCUGACUUAAGACAGGGAAUUUUUACUAAGAUUAAAUGUCAGGAAUUGUGAAAAACUGAGUUUAAAUCUAUUUGGCUAAGGUGAAUGUAAACUUCCGAACUACUUCCAUUAGAAUUUGUUUUGUACUGGUUAUCUUCAGAUGAGUCCCAUGACACUUGUAGGGGUCAUAGAGCAAGAACACCAUAAUUUUCGUGAGAAUCUCCCCUUUGCACGGUGGGAACACACUGUUGGGACGCUACACACGUUUUUUGGAGAAGAUGUCUCAUGGUCUGACAUCAGUGGAUGCGGUGGUUUGGGAUGCACCCAAUGCAUAAAAAAAAAAAGAUUUCUCCAGCUUGAACUGAUGGAUGUUGACAGGGAUUUUUGUAUUAUGCUACUUAAAUGUAUUGACACACCGGUGUGCCAAUCAACUCUAGGGGGGUUAUCAGUAGUUAGUAGACACACUGAAUACAACUACUGUCCAGGAGUGUGUAUAAUCUGGACAGGUAUAAUAGCCAAGGUUGGUGAUUUACUGCCACCUACAGUAAUGGAAUGCUUGGUCAGGAGUAUAAUUAGUUGGCUGACACCUCCUGCUGAACUGGAUGGGAUUAUUUGAUCCUUCCUUAACCCAUAGCAAGUCCCACACAGUUGACGUUGAACAAAGUCCUCAUGCCCUUUUUAAAACAGGCUUUGUGGCAAGUGUGUCCUCUAUCCUUCUCUAUGUAUGUCAGCCAUCAGACACUUCCUGCCCUGUUCACACCUGCUGUAUGAGAGACAGUCAUAAGUCGUGAUUGACGGAAGACUCUGAACCCUGGACCUGUAUGGAGAGGUCACCUCAAACAGGUUCUAAUAACUUAAUCACUUCCACCAUAUUGAGAGGGGGGGAUAGGAAGAGACAGACAUAGAGAGACAGAGAGAGAGGGAGAGUCUUCGCACCAUGUGGGCCAUCAUAAUGAGAGAGAAUGCGAGAGAAAGAGAGAGAGAGUGUUCAGAGAGUGUUAAGACCCCCUUGUGGACCCGCCAGUAUGGGAGGAGGUGACCUAGCUGUCACAGAAAGGUAUCCUUAUAAAGUGACAGGGAUGAUGACAGCUCUCCAGUGGUUUGUGAGAAGAAUCCCUCUUACUCAAAGUGUCUUCGAUCUACAGUAGUGUGUGUAGUGUACCCCUCUCUCUCAGAUAUUGUUUUAGGUAGAUCGUUGGCUACAAUAGACUUCAGCUCCCAGCGGUUCCUCUUGCAUGCCACAAGCAACGUAAGGCUGGAGGAAGACUUCCAAGGACCAGCGUCAAAACUCUGCUGCUGCACAUUCUAAAGUGUGGGGACCUGACCUGACCAGACCCAGACUCAGCUAUGUGUGGUGCAGUGUGGUGUCUCCUGCUCCUGUUGUUCUAUCAUGGUACUGAUGAAAUGGUGCUGGAGGACAAGGCCUUAGCCAGCCAGUCAAGGUGCCGUACAUAUGAGCUGGAGAGAGGACAGAAUGGCAUCAACAGCUUCAAAAGGCAUUCCGACGGAACGUUCACCAAUGACUACACCCACUCCCUGGAUAAGAUCAAGGCUAAAGAAUUUGUACAGUGGCUGG